GACGAACGCUGGCGGCGUGCUUAACACAUGCAAGUCGAACGAUGAUCUCCCGCUUGCGGGGGUGAUUAGUGGCGAACGGGUGAGUAAUACGUGAGUAACCUGCCCUUGACUCUGGGAUAAGCCUGGGAAACCGGGUCUAAUACUGGAUACUACUUCCUGCCGCAUGGGGGGGGGUGGAAAGGGUUUUACUGGUUUUGGAUGGGCUCCCGGCCUAUCAGCUUGUUGGUGGGGUAAUGGCUCACCAAGGCGACGACGGGUAGCCGGCCUGAGAGGGUGACCGGCCCCCCUGGGACUGAGACACGGGCCAGACUCCUACGGGAGGCAGCAGUGGGGAAUAUUGCACAAUGGGCGGGAGCCUGAUGCAGCGACGCCGCGUGGGGGAUGACCGCCUUCGGGUUGGAAACCUCUUUCAGCAGGGAAGAAGCCACAAGUGACGGUACCUGCAGAAGAAGCGCCGGCUAACUACGUG
rnacentral:rRNA from 1 species